AUUGAACGCUGGCGGCAGGCUUAACACAUGCAGGUCGAGCGGGGGAAGGUAGCUUGCUACCGGACCUAGCGGCGGACGGGUGAGUAAUGCUUAGGAAUCUGCCUAUUAGUGGGGGACAACAUCUCGAAAGGGAUGCUAAUACCGCAUACGUCCUACGGGAGAAAGCAGGGGAUCUUCGGACCUUGCGCUAAUAGAUGAGCCUAAGUCGGAUUAGCUAGUUGGUGGGGUAAAGGCCUACCAAGGCGACGAUCUGUAGCGGGUCUGAGAGGAUGAUCCGCCACACUGGGACUGAGACACGGCCCGGACUCCUACGGGAGGUAGCAGUGGGGAAUAUUGGACAAUGGGGGGAACCCUGAUCCAGCCAUGCCGCGUGUGUGAAGAAGGCCUUAUGGUUGUAAAGCACUUUAAGCGAGGAGGAGGCUACUUUAGUUAAUACCUAGAGAUAGUGGACGUUACUCGCAGAAUAAGCACCGGCUAACUCUGUGCCAGCCGCCGCGGUAA
rnacentral:rRNA from 1 species